rnacentral:rRNA from 1 species
UAAAGCGUGGGAACUCGUGGGGAGACUGCCGGUGAUAACCGGAGGAAGGCGGGGUGACGUCAAGUCCUCAUGGCCCUUACAUCCCGGGCUACACACGUGCUACAAUGGCAGGUACAGAGGGCUGCGAAGCCGCGAGGUGGAGCGAAUCCCAGAAAACCUGUCUCAGUCCGGAUUGAAGUCUGCAACUCGACUUCAUGAAGGCGGAAUCGCUAGUAAUCGUGGAUCAGCAUGUCACGGUGAAUACGUUCCCGGGUCUU